GGGGAAUAUUGCACAAUGGGGGAAACCCUGAUGCAGCAACGCCGCGUGAGUGAUGAUGGUCUUCGGAUUGUAAAGCUCUGUCUUUAGGGACGAUAAUGACGGUACCUAAGGAGGAAGCCACGGCUAACUACGUGCCAGCAGCCGCGGUAAUACGUAGGUGGCAAGCGUUGUCCGGAUUUACUGGGCGUAAAGGGAGCGUAGGUGGAUAUUUAAGUGGGAUGUGAAAUACCCGGGCUUAACCUGGGUGCUGCAUUCCAAACUGGUUAUCUAGAGUGCAGGAGAGGAAAGGAGAAUUCCUAGUGUAGCGGUGAAAUGCGUAGAGAUUAGGAAGAAUACCAGUGGCGAAGGCGCCUUUCUGGACUGUAACUGACACUGAGGCUCGAAAGCGUGGGGAGCAAAC
rnacentral:rRNA from 1 species